GUGCCAGCAGCCGCGGUAAUACGUAGGUGGCAGAGCGUUGUCCGGAAUUAUUGGGCGUAAAGCGCGCGCAGGCGGUCUCUUAAGUCUGAUGUGAAAGCCCCCGGCUCAACCGGGGAGGGUCAUUGGAAACUGGGAGACUUGAGUGCAGGAGAGGGAAGCGGAAUUCCAUGUGUAGACGGUGAAAUGCGUAGAGAUAUGGAGGAACACCAGUGGCGAAGGCGGCUUCCUGGCCUGUAACUGACGCUGAGGCGCGAAAGCGUGGGGAGCAAACAGGAUUAGAUACCCUGGUAGUCCACGCCGUAAACGAUGAGUGCUAGGUGUUAGGGGCUUGCCCCAUUAGUGCUGCASSUAACGCAUUAAGCACUCCGCCUGGGGAGUACGGUCGCAAGCUGAAACUCAAAGGAAUUGACGG
rnacentral:rRNA from 1 species